rnacentral:tRNA from 2 species
GCAUCAUUGGUCUAGUGGUAGAAUUCAUCGUUGCCAUCGAUGAGGCAGGCCCGCAUUCGAUUCGCGGAUGAUGCA